rnacentral:rRNA from 1 species
CUUUCCCUCUGGCGGCAUGCUUUACACAUGCAAGUCGAACGGCAGCGCGGGCUUCGGCCUGGCGACGAGUGGCGAACGGGGGAGUAAUGCAUCGGAAAGUGCUCAGUAGUGGGGGAUAGCCCGGCGAAAGCCGGGUUAAUACCGCAUACGACCUGCGGGUGAAAGCGGGGGACCGAAAGGGCUCGUGCUAUUGGAGCGGCCGAUGUCGGAUUAGCUCGUUGGUGGGGUAAAGGCUUAUCAAGGCGACGAUCCGUAGCUGGUCUCAGAGGACGACCAGCCACACUAGGACUGAGACACGGCCCAGACUCCUACGGGAGGCAGCAGUGGGGAAUGUUGGACAAUGGGGGCAACCCUGAUCCAGCCAUGCCGCGUGCGGGAAGAAGGCCUUCGGGUUGUAAACCGCUUUUGUUCGGGAAGAAAUCCUCUGGGCGAAUGCCCCGGGGGGAUGACGGUACCGGAAGAAGAAGCACGGGCUAACUACGU